AUGUUCCAUUGGGGCUGCAGCUUUUCAGAGUAUGCAGGAAUGAUGUCAUUUGUUUUCACAGAACCCAGUUUAAAUUUGUUCCUGCCUUUGGAGAACUGCAGCAGAGUGCAUCUGUGGAGACUUCCUGCAUCCCAUAUUUCAGGACCUCAGAGUGUUUGCUGCAUCAAAAUCCAACCAAUCGCACCCCUGCCUGAGUACCGGAACCAUCACAGGAGGAUAUUCAUUGGACGGCAAUGA
rnacentral:lncRNA from 9 species